AAUAACCUCAUUUUUCGUUUUUCCGUGUCUUUGACCAUUUGUCUUAUUUGAAUUUUUUUGUAAUUAAUAUUUUUAUUGUUACUAGAUGAUAAAAUAUGAAUAGUAUUUUAUACGUGACUAAUUUUUUUAAAUUUUUGUACAAAAUUUUCAAAUAAGACGAAUGCUCAAAGAUUGGAUACGGAAAAAC
rnacentral:pre_miRNA from 1 species